rnacentral:rRNA from 1 species
UACGGAGGGAGCUAGCGUUGUUCGGAAUUACUGGGCGUAAAGCGCACGUAGGCGGUCUUUUAAGUCGGGGGUGAAAUCCUGGAGCUCAACUCCAGAACUGCCUUCGAUACUGGAAGACUUGAGUCCGGGAGAGGUGAGUGGAACUGCGAGUGUAGAGGUGAAAUUCGUAGAUAUUCGCAAGAACACCAGUGGCGAAGGCGGCUUUCUGGUCUGUAACUGACGCUGAGGCGCGAAAGCGUGGGGAGCAAACAGG